rnacentral:rRNA from 1 species
GGUCAAGUUAUUAAGGGUGCAGGGCGGAUGCCUUGGCACUAGGAGCCGAUGAAGGACGUGAUAAGCUGCGAUAAGCUUCGGGGAGUUGCACGUAAACUUUGAUCCGAAGAUUUCCGAAUGAGGAAACUCACUUAGAGUAAUGUCUAAGUAUCAUUAAGUGAAUACAUAGCUUAAUGAGGGGAACUCAGGGAACUGAAACAUCUAAGUACCUGAAGGAAGAGAAAGAAAUUCGAUUCCGUAAGUAGCGGCGAGCGAACGCGGAUUAGCCCAAACCAAUAAAGUUUUCUUUAUUGGGGUUGCGGACAUAUCAUAACGAAGAGGUAUCGUAAUUGAAGAGGUUUGGAAAGACCCACCACAGAAGGUAAUAGUCCUGUAU